AUGGUUUAAGUAAGGCUGCAUAAUGGCCGCAUAAUUGAAGAGUUCACUCUAAAAUAAGACAUCGCUGCAUUACCCAAAGCUGCAGCUGCCGGUACAAAAUGACUACACGUAAUAAAUUAGAGGACAUUAUAGGCUAGGACAUUUUCAUUAAAGUUAUGGGUCUUUUUAUGUGUCGAGCUUAAAAACAUACCCUAUUUUAGAAGGAUGAAUCAGCAGCAAAUAAGUUUCAGGUGUUAUAUGUAUUUGUCAGAGAGUUGGAUUUAGAAAUAGAUUGCACCAUAAUAAUAGCCAGACCAGCACUGGAUGUUUAAUAUAUUAGCAAAAUCAUCAGCCUUGCAAUUAAAACAAAUGUCAGAGUGCAAUGUUCAAAGUGUUAGAGUUUAAAAAUAAUCACUGGUGUUUCACAAAAUAAAAUACCACUUGUAAAUAUAUUGAUUUGCAUGUAAGAAAGUAACAUGUAUGAGCCAGAAAGAUGGAGGUGAUUGGAUUCUUUUUUUGGGUUAAAGCAGGAUUCAAGUGACAGGAUACACAAUCUUUUGAGCAUUGAGUAUUUUAGUCAAUUUCAGCCUUGAUGUUUUGUAGAGGGAUAUUUUGAAGGUGAAAAACUCAGUUGGCUCUUGGAAGUGGAGAAAGCUACUGAAUAUUUUAGAAAUAUGGGCUUGUAAAGCAGCAUAAUGAUACAGAGUAAUGAUGUGAUUUAUAUGUUAUGAGCCUUUUGGAAUUGCUACAAAAAAAAUUCUGUGUUUGAAUUGUAGAUGUUCAUCAUAUUUCUAUAUGUUGUAUGUACACUUAGCAUCUGGGAAUAUCUGUGCUGCUAUCAUAUUUUCAAAUAGCCCUUCAGCAUUGACUGUAAACAUAUUAGUCUAUCAUAUUUCAUAAUUUAGCGUGUGUAAACAUUUACCAAAAGGCACUGCAGCCACAGAACUGGUAAGAAAAUGGGCUGGAUCAAGUUGUGGAAAAGAAAUCUGUGGGAAUGAAGAUCCUGAGUGAGUUAAACGAAUGAGUGAGAUCUGUCUGUUGGCAUGGGAAAGCAUAAGUGGCUGUGUGGGCUUUGAAAUGAUGACGCUCAGAGCUCUUUCCCCUGGAGAAUAAUGGGCUGAAAUGUGGAGAGGCUGAGCACAAGGAACGCACAAGGAACGCACACAGAGCGACGCGGCUUUUCCGGAGAGACACACAACCCAGCGGUGUCUCCCUAUAGUCACUUGGCGAACACAGAAUGAAUAUUUUUUUCAAUAUGAGGGGGACGAUUGUGAGACAAAUAGCAGAGGACAGAGCUCUUGCAGAGGCAGCCAUGAACCCGCCACGCCGGACAUCAAGCCCUCCACGCCGGACAUCAAGCCCUCCACGCCGGACAUCAAGCCCUCCACGCCGGACAUCAAGCCCUCCACGCCGGACAUCAAGCCCUCCACGGAGACCAUCAAGUUCUCCUGAUGAUAGGCCCUCCACUGAGAGCGUGCAGAUGAACAACAGCAGCAACUCGGGCGUGAUCCUGGACAUCUCGACUCUCAAGAUGGCGGAAGUGGACACGGAGGUGCCUCCUCUUCCACCUCGCUAUCGCUUCAGGGACUUACUGCUGGGGGACCAGACCUUUCAGAACGAUGACAGGUAUCAAGAGGAGUACAGUAUGGACUCAACCAAUGCCCAGGUGCAGGUGGAGUUCUAUGUGAAUGAAAACACCUUCAAGGAGAGGCUGAAGCUUUUCUUCAUCAAAAACCAAAGGUCAAGCCUGAGAAUCCGCCUGUUUAACUUCUCACUGAAGAUCCUCACCUGUGCCCUCUACGUACUGAGAGUGAGUCUGGAUGACCGCGAGGAUGUCAACGGCGACCCGUGUGCAAAAUGUCAGAAUAACAGUACAGCAGACUCGGCAGACAUCAACUGGUGUGUGAUUUUCUGGGUUACCAGACGGGAACCUGUAUGGGCGAUACAGGUGACAGUGGCCUUAAUCAGUUUCUUGGAGACCAUGCUCAUCACAUAUCUCAGCUACAAGGGUAACAUUUGGGAGCAGAUCUUCCAGAUUUCCUUCAUAUUGGAGAUGAUCAAUUCAGUGCCAUUUAUAAUCACAAUCUUCUGGUGUCCAUUGAGAAACAUAUUCGUUCCUGUAUUUCUCAACUGCUGGCUAGCCAAAGGUGCCCUGGAGAACAUGAUUAAUGACUUCCAUCGUGCCAUCCAGAGGACUCACUCUGCCAUGUUCAACCAGGUGUUCAUCCUCAUCUGCACCUUACUGUGUCUGGUUUUCACCGGAGCUUGUGGGAUCCAGCAUCUAGAGCGAGCCGGGAAGCGCCUGACCCUGUUCGACUCGUUCUAUUUCUGCAUCGUCACCUUCUCCACAGUGGGCUACGGGGAUGUCACGCCACAAAUCUGGCCCUCCCAGCUGCUGGUGGUCAUUCUCAUCUGUGUUGCCCUGGUGGUUCUCCCACUGCAGUUUGAAGAACUAGCAUACCUGUGGAUGGAGAGCCAGAAGUUAGGAGGGAACUACAGCCGCCACCGGGCGCAGACGGAGAAGCACGUGGUGUUGUGUGUCAGCUCGCUGAAAAUUGACCUCCUGAUGGAUUUCCUCAACGAGUUCUACGCUCAUCCCAGACUACAGGACUACUAUGUGGUGAUCCUGUGUCCGACAGAGAUAGACAUUCAGGUUCGCCGUAUCCUGCAAAUCCCUUUAUGGUCCCAGAGGGUCAUCUACCUGCAGGGAUCAGCCCUGAAAGACCAGGACCUGAUGAGGGCCAAGAUGGAUGAUGCUGAGGCCUGCUUCAUCCUCAGCAGCAGGAAUGAGGUCGACCGAACUGCUGCUGAUCACCAGACUAUUUUGAGGGCUUGGGCUGCAAAAGAUUUUGCUCCAAAUUGCCCUCUGUACGUCCAAAUUCUCAAACCUGAAAAUAAGUUCCAUGUUAAGUUUGCAGAUCAUGUAGUAUGUGAGGAGGAGUUCAAGUAUGCCAUGUUGGCGCUGAACUGUGUGUGUCCCGCCACGUCUACCCUGGUCACACUGCUGGUUCACACCUCCAGAGGACAGGAGGGGCAGCUGUCCCCGGAGCAGUGGCAGAGGAUCUACGGACGCUGCUCUGGAAACGAGGUCUACCACAUCCGCUUGUGUGACAGCAAGUUUUUUGGGGAAUAUGACGGAAAGAGCUUCACCUACGCAUCCUUCCACGCCCACAAGAAGUACGGUGUGUGUUUAAUCGGAGUGAAGAGGGAGGACAACAAGAGCAUCCUCCUGAACCCCGGCCCCCGCCACAUCAUGGCCGCCCCCGACACCUGCUACUACAUCAACAUCACCAAGGAGGAGAACUCUGCCUUCAUCUUCAAACAGGAAGAGAAGCACAACAAGGGCAUACCCGUCAGCGGCCUCUACGACGCCCCCUCCAGGCUGCCCGUGCACAGCAUCAUCGCCAGCAUGGUUGAUCAGGCCACUGCAUAUGGCACUGUGGCCAUUGAUCUCCAGAACCCCAGUCCUCCCGAGGAAAGCAGCAAGCUGACCUUGCCGACGGAGAACGGCGCUGGAAGCCGCCGGCCGAGCAUUGCGCCCGUCUUGGAGAUUGCAGACUCCUCCGCCAUCCUGCCCUGCGACCUCCUCAGCGACCAAUCAGAGGACGAGAACAAUCAAUCAGACGAGGAGGGAUCCGUAGGCUCAGAUUUUGUGAAGGGUUACCCUCCCAACUCACCCUACAUCGGCAGCUCCCCCACUCUGUGCCACCUCCUGCCACAGAAAGCUCCAUUCUGCUGCCUUCGUCUCGACAAGGGCUGCACACACAGCAGCUUUGAGGAUGCCAAAGCAUACGGCUUCAAGAACAAGCUGAUUAUAGUGUCUGCAGAGACGGCGGGAAACGGUCUCUACAACUUCAUCGUCCCCCUGCGCGCCUACUAUCGGCCCAGGAAGGAGCUCAACCCCAUAGUGCUGCUGCUGGACUACCCGCCAGACAACCACUUCCUAGAGGCCAUUUGCUGCUUUCCAAUGGUCUACUUCAUGGCUGGCACCAUCGAUAACUUGGACAAUCUGCUCCAGUGUGGAAUAAUUUACGCCGACAACCUGGUGGUUGUGGACAAGGAGAGCACCAUGAGCGCUGAGGAGGACUACAUGGCCGACGCCAAGACCAUCGUCAACGUCCAGACUAUGUUUAGGCUGUUCCCCAGCCUCAGCAUCAUCACGGAGCUCACACACCCGUCCAACAUGAGGUUCAUGCAGUUCAGAGCCAAGGACUGCUACUCGCUCGCGCUCUCCAAACUGGAGAAGAUAGAGCGUGAUAAGGGCUCCAACCUGGCCUUCAUGUUCCGGCUGCCCUUCGCUGCAGGCAGGGUGUUCAGCAUCAGCAUGUUGGACACACUGCUGUACCAGUCGUUUGUGAAGGACUAUAUGAUCGGUAUAGCGAGGCUUCUUCUGGGUCUGGACACCACGCCAGGCUCUGGGUACCUCUGUGCUAUGAAGAUCACAGAGGAGGACCUGUGGAUCAGGACAUAUGGCAGACUCUUCCAGAAGCUUUGUUCCUCCAGCUCUGAGAUCCCCAUCGGGAUCUACCGCACCGAGUCCCACAUGUUCUCCACCUCAGAGGGAAAGGACAGUUAUGCACAGUCUCAGAAUUCCAUCAACGUGCCGCAGGGCGAGGAACAUCGAGAGCGCGGAGAGUCCUGGAAGGAGAAGAAGGCCCACAGGAACUCCACCACCAGUGACCAAUCAGAGCACCCGCUGCUGAGGAAGAAGAGCAUGCAGUGGGCGCGGCGGCUGAGCAGGAAGAACGUGAAGCCGUCGAGCCGGGCGGAGCGCAUCUCGCAGCAGAGACUCAACCUGUACCGACGCUCAGAGCGCCAGGAGCUGUCGGAGCUGGUGAAGAACCGCAUGAAGCACCUGGGCCUGCCCACCGUGGGAUACGAUUGGAUUCUCAGUUCUCUAAACGUUUCUUUAAAGCCACAGCACCUCCGGGGGCAGACAUCAUUUAAUCGGUUGAGUUAAACAUCAGUGGGGGUAGCUUGACAUUCUCAGCAAUAAAAAUGUACACUUGUGGUGGUACAUUUUAAAUGUACGAUUUACAGUUAUGAGAGUUGAAAACAGUUUGGAUCCAGCUUCACAAUGUAAAUACAUGCUAAAUCUUAUAGGGUGUUGGACUGUUCAUCAGACAAAAUCAUUCUUAUAAUUGAGACUCUUAUUGUUUAAUUAUUACACAUUUUUGAUUUCAUAUGAUUUCAAUAUAUCCAUUAAUGAAUAAUGGAAAUAAGUGCAGCCUCUAAAACGUAAAUGUUAUUUUUUUGGACUGCCAUGCGGACAGUUUCGCCUGUUUUUAAAUACAGUCACGUGACUUAUUCAGUUUUGAGAAAAUCUGAAAUAAGUCUUCUCUUAAAAGCACCUUAUAUAUAUUAGGCAUGGCCCACAGGAUCUGUCCUUCCCACUGAGCCACCCAUGUAUUAUGGGUUGCUUUGUUUUAAAUGGACUAAGUGUGGUGCAGGAGGCAUGUAUACAGUGAUGUUGUGAAGCUACAAAGUGUUAAAAAGCCAAACAACAUCAUUUAGUCCGGUUUUGUCUUAAUGAUACAUAUGAAGGUAAGUAGCAAUAUAACAUUUACUUACGUUGUAUUCACCAACUUUUUAAAAGGCAAAGCAAAAGUUCCAAGAACACACUAAAUGUGACCUUCUUUCUACGACUAAACCUGGUUAUUAUUAUGCUCCACCCACUCUCAACCAGUUAAAUGAUGUCAGCUGUGAGAGAGUCUGUGUUUAAAAACUCCACUGUGUGUCAUUUGAUCUCAUCUCACCAUCUACAGCUGUGGUGCCGUGGGUGUUUACUGUGGAGAUCAUUAACACCGCACUACAUCAUCAUUACCCUUUAAAAAAAAAUCAUUUUCUCUCAUCAGUUUCUCACUCAUCAAACUCCUCCAUGUGCCAUCACACACUCACCAUUUCACACUCCUCAUCAUCAUCCUCAUCAUCAUCCUCAUCAACACGUCAUGCAUGGAGAUGCAGGAGCAGCAAGCCUUGUCUCAAUUGCAAAUGAACACAGACUGCAAUUGCCUGCACUCAAUAUCUGCUCACUUUUCUUUUCCUCCCAGCUUCACGCUUCCAAACUAAAGCAGAAUCAUGCUCCAGCUGUGUUGCACUUGCUAAAUAUUAUGUAACAUGUGGAUUAAAUACCUUUCAGGAAGAACCCCAAAAGCUCCAGAUCAUCUUAUGAACCAUGAAUGUCAGUGAGGAUUACUGCAGCAGGAUCAUAACAUGUGACAGAUGAAUAAUUCGGAAGUGAUUCUGUGCACACACCGGUGCAUGGCUUCUUUGCAUCGCUCUCACCUUUUUUUGAAACGUCCUUUUUUGAAACUGCAAAUGCCUUCGCUGCCUGCCUGAUUAUUUUCUAUUUCUUGUUUUCCUCUGUUCCCCUCCUCCUCUCUCUCUCUGCCUUUUUCUCUGACUCUUGUGUCUUCCCUCCUUUGGCUUGUAGAGGAUGUUUCUAAUCUCACUGCAAGCGAUGUCAUGAAUCGAGUAAAUCUAGGAUAUUUGCAAGGUAAUCCUGUGUGCCGUUUAUAACUCGUUUACAACAAUGUGAGUGGCUGCGUUCCAUCUUGUAGGAAAGGAAGUUGUCCUUUCACCAGCAUCCACUGAAGUUUGCACUGAAUAAGAACUAGAACUUUUAAAGGCUUUAGUGUUUGUCCUAACCAUUUUGUUGGUAGUUAACAUUUUGUAGUUAAUUAUAAAUGAACAUAAUAGGAUAUUAACAGUGAAUGCUGUUGCUUAGAGUUGCAGGACAUUUCAGAGCACCCGUAUUCAGAGGGGACCAAGCCGUCAGGUUAGCUGGUUGAUCAGUGUUACAACUCUACUGCAUGAGUGUGUGUGUGCGUGUGUGUGCGUGUGUGUGUGUUCUGCCAGAACGAGUGGUACAUCAGCAGCCAAUCUCUCACUCUACUGUCCCUCUCUCUAUCUGGUCUUUUCUGCAUUGUGUUCCGUGAGGUGGCGUCCCCCAUGGCUAGAGUACUGCAGGGUCCAGAGUAUGGCUUAAAGAGUGGAGUGGAGCGCAUUGGGUCUGUAGAUGGAAGGCUAGAUGUACAGUUAAAAUGUGUAUUUAUAUAUCAUUAUGUGUUAGGUAUAUAUAAAGACCAGAGGUGUGCUGAUGUAUGAAAACAACAGACACAGUUCUUCAUUUUCUACAUCAGGACACCUCCAAGUGUAUUUUCACACGUAUACCAUGGCCACUUAACAGCAGACAAAAUGAGAAGCAGCUUCACUUUUCUUAAAGUUUGUUUAUAUUAAGUUUAAUGCACAGGUUGGUCUUUUACUGCUAGUUUGACGUAACGAAUACUGCAAUUACAUAUAGUCUGUGCGCUGACUUACCUGUCAGGAAAACAUGUUUCUGCUUAUGUAUUCCAGAAUAUUUGAUCUUGUUUAUCUUAAAUGUUGCUGACCUCCAGUUGUUUAACUUCUAAAGUGCACUCUAGGGAUAUAUUAAAGUUAUCAGGGAGCUGAAGUAGCGGAAAGCUUCUCUGGCCCUGAGAGCUCAACGCACUGCAAAUGAAGAAGAACUGCAAGUAGACGAGCUGAGGAAGGAAUAUCUUUACCAAUUUGACAACACGAGAAAUCUGUUACCGUAGUUGGCAGUGUGCAAAGUGCUAAUAUUAUGUAGACAGUUUAGGAAUAGUUCUUAAGUCUAGACCAGCAUCAUUUGUUGAUUAUUGUGGACUUUUUGUAUGUCUGGUCUUUAGCAAGUGAAACAAAGUUGGAGGUCAGGUGUUAUUUCCUGUCCUGCAUUUUCUGUGAGGACCCUCAGCCUGCUGGAAGGUGCUAACAUUGAGCAAUGUAUACAAAAUGACAGCACAGUUUGUCUCAGAUAACACACCGACCUAACUUUCUGCACCUACAUUUGAGGUUUCUUUUAUUCAAACUAUAACAAAAUCAGAAAUGAGUACUAUAUGUGACCAUGGUAUAAUCCAUAUCAAAUACACUGAAUAGCCUACUAUAAAAAUGUCAUGUCUCCUCUUACUGAUACUAUUAGUUUAGCAGAAUAGGUGUGUGUUCCUGCAGCAGGUGAUUCUCUUCCACUCUCACACUCCCGAUGUGUUCUGCUCCACUCUCAGUUUGGUCGGAGUCGCUCUGCGUUUUGGUCCAGUGUGAAGGAUGCUGGAGCAUGUCUCUCUGUGUCUGUGGAUGUGUCACAUGUCCCUCUGGGCUGCGGGGGGGUGGGGGCUGAGUGUCGUCCGUUUGGCAUGGCAACCUGCCGCCUUGGUCCAGUGUGGAAUGCGCAGAAGAAAAUAUAGGAAAAUGGGAAUGUGAUGGGAAACGAUUUGUGGCGUAGCCGCGGACGCUGUCUGCAUGCUGGCUCCGUCCUGACGCUGCGCAUGGGGAGCUGUGUCAGGGAGCAUGGGCCACCCCAACCCACCCCCCCCCCCCCCCCCCCCCCCCCCCUUGUUCCACAGAGUGCCCUGUCAGUAACGGUUAGCCCUUCUCUCUCUUCCACCCCGCCUGGCUUUAUAAAGGGCCACAAGCAGACGAGAUGAACGACCACCAGAACACGCUGUCCUACGUCCUCAUCAACCCUCCCCCUGACACCGUGCUGGAGCUCAACGACAUCGUGUACAUCAUCCGGUCCGACCCGCUGGCUCACAUGCCCGAGGAAUCCCAGACGGGGCAGCCCCGCAGGAACCAGCAGGACUUUGUCUCAGAGACGAGAGACGAGACUCACCUCUGAAGCCCCUCAGUCCCUGACACCCUGACACCUUAACCCCGGAGAGCAUGUUCCUCUCACAGAGCGAAUCCACAUCAUGUGUCUCUCAGAUCAGAAAAAGAAUCAACAUUUAGAAAAAGAUGAGAAAGCUACUGUUUCCCACUGAGCUGCUACCGGAGGAUGGAUGAAGAGUACCUCGUCAUCGACCCCACCCCUCGCACACCUCUGUACUCGCACAUGCCCCCCCUCGCACCAGGAACAGGAAGUGGAUCACUGAGGGAUGAUGGGAUGUUUUGAGAGGUGUUUAGACGGUCGUAGGAGGUUUAACGUGCACACACUGUACAGGAUAGUAGAACAUUUCACUCGGGGGGGAAGUCGCCCACUUCCUCGACGCCCUUUUCCGUCUAAACUCACUACGAAAAUAAUCCAGAGGCAACUGCAUCCUCCGCCACAUCUUAAUCGCAUUCCUUACAAGUAAAUGCUCUGAGUUUCUAUUGAUUCUAUUAAUUACGUCUGCUAAAAACAGACAUUUCCAUUUUCUUUAUGAGCACAAACUUUUUUAUCUAAAUAUACUCUAUAGUGGCACUUUUUUUGGCCAUAUUAGAAUUGUCAGCAUUUUUCUCUGUUGUGUUUUGGACACUGAUUUUUGUUGUGGUUAUUGUCAAAGAAUGAAUAUUGUUAAUUUAUUUCACUAUUUUAAGUGUCCCAUAUGAUGUCUGCUAUACAGAAUGUGCCAUUCUUUAGUUGACUGUUUUUCUUUGUAAAUAACUUUACAAUGAUUUGUACAUUACGUGCCAUUUUGCAUUUGCUUUAUGAUAUCAUUGUUUGUUUUGUUUAAGAGCCUGACUGAUUUUAUUUGCCGGGCCAAUAUAUAACCCUGCUUUAAAUUAUCCAAAAUAUGUCAUAGAAGUUGAAAUGUCCACGUGGCUAUUUUAACAAAAAGUUUGCCCACAAAAUGUUCUACUUUUGUUUAAUAUAUUUUUAGAGUCUUAUUUUUCUUAGCUUAACUUAUGUAUAAUCAUGUGUUCUUUGUUCUUUCAUUUGUAGUUGUAUUGAAAUGUACACACGUUUGUCUAUUCAAAUGUGAAACGUAUCACUCAGUACAUAUCUUGGUCACAACUCUAAUAAUCACAUUUAAAAGAACAGUUUUACAUUUCUGAAAAAAAACAUAUCUUGAGUUGACACAUUAUCAUGUCUGUGUGAUAAUCAUAAAGCUAAAACCAGAAGGAAAUUAGUUUAGCUUAGCCUAAAAGCUAAGGUAAUCAAAGCAGCUAGCAGGACCUCGAAAGCUAUGAUUAAAAAGUUGUUUUCUCGGUUAAAUCUUUACAAAAACAAUGUAAAGUGGAUUUUUUGAUUUACUUUUGUGCUGAUUAAACAAGCUAUUUAGUGUUACUUAGUGAUGUUAGGAGGCACUUUAAUGCUAGCUGUUUCCCUCUGCUUUCAAUGUUUAUGCUAAGCUAACAUCCUCCUGGCGGUGGCUUCAUAAUUGCCAAAAAACAUUGACUGGUAUUUUUAUUUAUUUAUUAAAGCUAGAAAGAAUAUAUUACAAAUAAA